GCAGUAUCCUAACUGUGCUAAGGUAGCAUAAUCAUUAGUCUUUUAAUUGGAGACUGGUAUGAAUGGCUUAACGAGAAAUUAACUUUUUUUGUUAUAAAAAUCUAAUUUAAUUUUUUAGUGAAAAAGCUAAAAUUUUUCAGAAAGACGAGAAGACCCUAUAGAGUUUUAUAUUAGAUUAUAUUUAUUUUUAUUAGAUUUUGAAAAAAUAAGUAUAUAAUAAUAUUUUGUUGGGGCGACAUUAAGAUAAAAAAAACUCUUUUUUUAAAAAAUUUUAAUAAAAAUAUUAAAUGAUUCUUUAAAAAAGAUCAAAAGAAAAAAUUACCUUAGGGAUAACAGCGUAAUCUUUUUUUAGAGUUCUAAUCGACAAAAAGGUUUGCGACCUCGAUGUUGGACUAAAAUUUAGGCAGGGUGCAGCAGUUCUGCUUUUAGGUCUGUUCGACCUAUA
rnacentral:rRNA from 1 species